rnacentral:rRNA from 1 species
GAGAGUGGCGAACGGGUGAGUAACACGUAGGUGAUCUACCCUUGGGUGGGGAAUAGCCCAUGGAAACAUGGGGUAAUACCGCAUGAGGUCUUUCUGCGUAAAGCGGAUGGAUAAAAGGAGCAAUUGUUCCGCCUGGGGAUGAGCCUGCGGUCCAUUAGCUAGUUGGUGUGGUAAGAGCGCACCAAGGCGACGAUGGAUAGCCGGCCUGAGAGGGUGCACGGUCACACUGGGACUGGGACACGGCCCAGACUCCUACGGGAGGCAGCAGCUAAGAAUCUUCCGCAAUGGGGGAAACCCUGACGGAGCGACGCCGCGUGGGCGAAGAAGGCCGGAAGGUUGUAAAGCCCUUUUCUUGACGAAGAAUAAGGCAAGGAGUGGAACGCCUUGCUGAUGACGUUAGUCGAGGAAGAAGCCCCGGCCAAUUACGUGCCAGCAGCCGCGGUAACACGUAUGGGGCAAGCGUUGUUCGGAAUUACUGGGCGUAAAGGGUGCGUAGGCGGUUCAGCAAGCUUGGUGUUAAAUCCCCCGGCCUAACCGGGGAGCAGCGCUGGGAACUGCUGGGCUGGAGUUCAGGAGGGGAAGCUGGAAUUCCUGGUGUAGGGGUGAAAUCUGUAGAGAUCAGGAAGAACACCGAUGGCGAAGGCAAGCUUCUGGCCAUGGACUGACGCUGAGGCACGAAAGCGUGGGGAGCGAACAGGAUUAGAUACCCUGGUAGUCCACGCCGUAAACGAUGUGCACUAGGUGUUGGGGCGAUGAAAGCCUCGGUGCCGUAGCGAACGUGUUAAGUGCACCGCCUGGGGAGUAUGCUCGCAAGGGUGAAACUCAAAGGAAUUGACGGGGGCCCGCACAAGCGGUGGAGCAUGUGGUUUAAUUCGAUGAUACGCGAGGAACCUUACCAGGGCUUGACAUGUGCA